GGUGGGGGAAGUAGUAACCACACUUUCAGGUAGCACAGUUUUUCCCCUCGCAAUAGUGCUUAAUAGAUCCUCAAUAGCAGCAAAUUUGGAAUGAAAAAGCUCAUGAUCAGUGUGAAAUUUAGCGAAUCCGUCUUCGAGAGUGGAAACGGUCCUCUCUAACGAAUCAAAUCUGGUGUCCAUUCGUGUAUUGGGCAUUCGAACGGCAGGUUGGACCAAUUUGUUAGAGUAAGGACCUGUUCU
rnacentral:misc_RNA from 1 species